rnacentral:tRNA from 1 species
GCCCGGAUGGCUCAGUCGGUUGAGCGUCCGGCUUCGGCUCGGGUCACGAUCUCGCAGUUUGUGGGUUCGAGCCCCGCAUCGGGCU